UUCAGUAGAACUAAGUCACCAUUCUGGAU
rnacentral:sRNA from 1 species